UUUUUAUUAUAGUAUGUGAGUAAUUAAGAUUGUUCUAUUUAAAACAAUAUCUUAGACGCCAAGUUCGGAAAAGGUUUGACCUUGUUAUUUCGAACCGAAACACAUAACGUACAAGUGAAAAUAAAUAUUGACGUAUGCAAGUGUCCUAAUACAUCUAUUUAAAACAAACACCGUAAAUAUUUAUAUAUAACAUUUAUAAGCAAAAAAAUAUAGAUCACAAUACAUAUUGGUUUAGUUCAAUCAAUUCAUCAUUAUGAAGCAAUGCCAUAACAAUUUUAAAUAUCAUUGUUAUACGCAUAUAUUCGAUGGCAAAUUAGCAGUGAAGGAUAAUUGGAUAAAAUCAUAAAAUUUUCUCAUUUAUAACAUACAAAAAUAAUAGGAUUAGAAGAUUUUGCGAUUAUUCUAGUGUUUAAUACGAGAAAAUAAUAUUUUUCUUCAAGUGUAAAUAAUAUCUAUAUUAUUUUUGGCAACAGAAAUCGUAGAAAUAACCUAUUCUUUUACUAGUAAAAUAAUGAACGCUCAUUAUUGUACUAGUAACAAAAUAAUGAGAAACGAUAGCAACGUCUUAUUAUGAGCAUUGUAACCAAGUAGCCAAUUUUUAUUCAAUUUGAUGUUUGUCAGUUUUGAAACGUGUAUUGUGAAAAUAUCUCAAGAAGAAGAAUUUCAAUGUACACCUCGGCUUGAAGAAAAAAUAGUAUAUAUCACUCGGAGUAGAAAACCCAUUAUAUCUGGGAAUCUGGUCUCAACAAAAAUAAUAGCUUUCUCACUCCUAGUAACAUAAUGUACUAUUUGUUUAUGUCAUCAAAUUAGUGCAGUGCUCAUUUAUGUUUUCCAAUGAAAAGCAAUAAAAGACACCGAAGAAAAGUUACGUAAAUAUUAUCCUAAAAGUGCUUUGUCCCAUGAAAUGACAAGUGGAUAGAGUUAAAAUUUUUUUCUGUGAAGUGAAUGAGUGAAAAAGGACAGUUGUCAGUAGUGUGGUAAUAGAACAUACUUGGGGUGUGAUAAAAAUAUGGUAGUUUAUUGCAUUGGGAACAUAGUAAAAAGUUACAAGAGAUCCAAACGUAGCAUGGUGCCAAUUGUGGUGAGUGAGGUAAAUGUGGAUAGACAGGAACUUUUUUAAUAGGCUGUGACACGUGCUCACAAUGAAAAAGAAAGCCAUUGACCCAUUUUCAAUUAACUAAAAAUUGAAAAUAGUCUCAUUUUACUGAGGGUAUCUGACACGAUAUGUAGAGUAAAAUAAUUUUUUCAUAUUGUAGGUAUACUUUUUACGAUUUUUUGUUCAUUUUCUGAAUAAUAUGCCCACGAAUGUUGUUAUCCCGAAAAAUGGAAAGAAUGAUAUACAAAUAUUGUAAUCAAUUAACAAAGUAAGUUUUAAAUAUCGAAAUGUAAAACACUUUUCUUUACCAUUCGUACAAGGAAUUUCUAAAUCAUUGUAACAUUCUUUCUGUAAAUGAGAAAUUAAUAAAUAUAUUUGUCAAAAUAGAUUAAAAAGAUCAUUUAUUCAAGAAGUUAUAAGAAUUUCCAUUGUUGACGAAAUUCAAGAAAAAUUCAUUUAAAUGAAUCUAUAUAUUCUUAUAAUAAGAAAGUUUCGUUUGGAUGAUCGUUUAUCACAUUUUUUUUUUCAUUACUUCGCGAUACAAUUUUGAGGUACUGAGACACCUCAAAUUCUGAUCAAACUUGGGUUUGAUUUUACUUUGAGGCGAAUUUAAUUUAUUUGGUGAUAUUUAGAAUUAGAAUCCAGUUAAUGACUUAGAAUCCAUAUUAUUUAUAUUAAAAAUUUGAUAUUUUCACUAACCUUUAUUGUUAAAUUUCCAGAUAUGGCAUCUAAAAUGAAAGUGUCGUUGUCAAAAUUUUGAUUAGAAGGUCCAAUAAUAACAUUAUUAUCUAAAAUCCAGUAUUCAAAUGUGUGAUUCAAAUCACUGCUUUUACAAGCUAUCACUAAUGUUUGUCCAACAGACACUUCCAGAUUAAAAUACCCUGUCCUAUUAACAUUUCCAACUACAACACAUUUAUGUAACACGUAUGGGAGAACAACAAAUAUAUAUAUUUUCCACA